CAGCCGCCGCGGGAAUACCGAGGGUGCAAGCGUUAAUCGGAAUUACUGGGCGUAAAGCGCGCGUAGGUGGUUCGCCAAGUUGGAUGUGAAAUCCCCGGGCUCAACCUGGGAACUGCAUCCAAAACUGGCGAGCUAGAGUAUGGUAGAGGGUGGUGGAAUUUCCUGUGUAGCGGUGAAAUGCGUAGAUAUAGGAAGGAACAUCAGUGGCGAAGGCGACCACCUGGACUGAUACUGACACUGAGGUGCGAAAGCGUGGGGAGCAAACAGGAUUAGAUACCCCGGUAGUCCCUGUCUCUUAUAC
rnacentral:rRNA from 1 species